rnacentral:rRNA from 1 species
AGUUGGAUUUCUGGUCGAGUGUCCCUAGGCCGACUUGACGUUUGGUCCUAGGCGCUCUGCCAUCCUUCUGUUAACUCUCGCCUCGUUCGUUCGUGGCGUUAGGGCUCAGAUAUUUUACCUUGAGAAAAUUAGAGUGUUUCAGGCAGGCUUUCGCCGGAAUACAUUAGCAUGGAAUAAUGGAAAAGGACUUCAACCUCUUCUGUUGGUCUGAGAGGAUGUAGUAAUGAUUAAUAGGGAUAGUUGGGGGCAUUAGUACUUAACUGUCAGAGGUGAAAUUCUCCGAUUUGUUAAAGACUAACUUAUGCGAAAGCAUUUGCCAAGGAUGUUUUCAUUAAUCAAGAACGAAAGUUAGGGGAUCAAAGACGAUCAGAUGCCGUCCUAGUCUUAACCAUAAACUAUGCCGACUCGGGAUCGGGGGCACGCAAUAUCGGCCUUCGGCACCGUAUGAGAAAAUCAAAGUCUUUGGGU